AAUUACGCGGCGGGGCUGUCGCCGUACGCGGACAAGGGCAAGUGCGGCCUCCCGGAGGGGUCCCCACGGAGUCUGGACCAUGGAGGAGCGAGGUCUGGCCCCCAAGUUCGACACCACCUUUGAGAGCGCGCGGCCCACGCAGACCCACAUGGCGCUGGUGCAGCUGGAGCGCGUGGGCCUCCUCCGCUUCCUGGUCAGCCAGAACGUGGACGGGCUCCAUGUGCGCUCAGGCUUCCCCAGGGACAAACUGGCAGAGCUCCACGGGAACAUGUUUGUGGAAGAAUGUGCCAAGUGUAAGACGCAGUACGUCCGAGACACAGUCGUGGGCACCAUGGGCCUGAAGGCCACGGGCCGGCUCUGCACCGUGGCUAAGGCAAGGGGGCUGCGAGCCUGCAGGUGAGCCACCCCCACCCAUGCCCUGGGCUCCAGGGGAGGCUGCGAGGCCCCUGAGGACUCUCCUCAGCUUCCUCAUUGCAGGGGAGAGCUGAGGGACACCAUCCUAGACUGGGAGGACUCCCUGCCCGACCGGGACCUGGCACUCGCCGAUGAGGCCAGCAGGUCUGACCCCCCACCCCCAGGGAGCCCAUGGUGGGGCGGGGCGGGACGACAGCAGAAACACAGCCAGCUCCAGCAUGGGACAGUGGCUGAGGCUCACAGGCAGUGAGGGGAGGCUUCCUGGAGCAGGUGGGCCAGGCCAGGGGCUGCACACACGCACUCACACACACUCGUCACCUCAUGGCUCUGGGUGGGUGCUACACAAGGAAACCAAGGCUUCCGCCAGGUGUCUCCUCUAUCCAGUGCUGCCCAGCCGGGAGGUGACCGAGCCAGGGUCCCACCCUAGGUGUCCAAGCUCUUACCACACUGUGAUACUCCCCGGAAGUGUCUAAGGGCCCGCCCAGAUCAAUGACCCCGCCAACGGACCGCAGAGGAGGGCAGGGCGGGAUCCCAAAGGCUGACUCGGGAGUGGGGCUGGCCUUGACCGCCCCGGUGAGCACAGAUGGCCUAGGUGUGAACCGGCCCCCAGGGCUGGCUCGGGAUGUUGGCAGGAGCAGGGCAUCAGGCUCAGCCCACGCUCCCCGGCCCCAGGAACGCCGACCUGUCCAUCACGCUGGGUACAUCGCUGCAGAUCCGGCCCAGCGGGAACCUGCCGCUGGCUACCAAGCGCCGGGGAGGCCGCCUGGUCAUCGUCAACCUGCAGCCCACCAAGCACGACCGCCAUGCUGACCUCCGCAUCCAUGGCUACGUUGACGAGGUCAUGACCCGGCUCAUGAAGCACCUGGGGCUGGAGAUCCCCGCCUGGGACGGCCCCCGUGUGCUGGAGAGGGCGCUGCCACCCCUGCCCCGCCCGCCCACCCCCAAGCUGGAGCCCAAGGAGGAAUCUCCCACCCGGAUCAACGGCUCUAUCCCCGCCGGCCCCAAGCAGGAGCCCUGCGCCCAGCACAACGGCUCAGAGCCCGCCAGCCCCAAACGGGAGCGGCCCACCAGCCCUGCCCCCCACAGACCCCCCAAAAGGGUGAAGGCCAAGGCGGUCCCCAGC
rnacentral:lncRNA from 1 species